AGAGUUUGAUCAUGGCUCAGGACGAACGCUGGCGGCGUGCUUAACACAUGCAAGUCGAGCGGGGAUUAUGGUGGAAAUUCUUCGGGAUGGAAGCUGUAAUUCUAGCGGCGGACGGGUGAGUAACGCGUGAACAAUCUGUCCCAGACAGGGGGAUAACAGAUGGAAACAUCUGCUAAUACCGCAUAAGACCACGGGGUCGCAUGGCCCUGAGGUAAAAGGAGCAAUUCGGUCUGGGGUGAGUUCGCGUCCGAUUAGCUAGUUGGCGAGGUAACGGCCACCAAGGCGACGAUCGGUAGCCGACCUGAGAGGGUGAUCGGCCACAUUGGAACUGAGAGACGGUCCAAACUCCUACGGGAGGCA
rnacentral:rRNA from 1 species